GCCGGGGUGGCGAAAUUGGUCAUACGCGCGCGACUUAAGAUCGCGUUCCGCAAGGAGUGUGGGUUCGAGUCCCACCCCCGGCA
rnacentral:tRNA from 1 species